rnacentral:rRNA from 1 species
GAAACAGAACUUUCGCAAGACAAUUUACAAGGUGCUGCAUGGUUGUCGUCAGCUCGUGCCGUGAGGUGUCAGGUUAAGUCCUAUAACGAGCGCAACCCCUGUUGUUAGUUGCCAUCGAGUCAAGUCGGGAACUCUUAACAAGACUGCCAGUGUAAACUGUGAGGAAGGUGGGGAUGACGUCAAAUCAUCACGGCCCUUACGCCUUGGGCUACACACGUGCUACAAUGGACGGUACAGAGAGCAGCCACUGGGUGACCAGGAGCGAAUCUACAAAACCGUUCUCAGUUCGGAUCGGAGUCUGCAACUCGACUCCGUGAAGCUGGAAUCGCUAGUAUCGGAUAUCAGCCAUGAUCCGGUGAAUACGUUCCCGGGCCUUGUACACACCGCCCGUCAAGC